UUAAGCGACUAAGCGUACACGGUGGAUGCCCUGGCAGUCAGAGGCGAUGAAGGACGUGCUAAUCUGCGAAAAGCGUCGGUAAGGUGAUAUGAACCGUUAUAACCGGCGAUGUCCGAAUGGGGAAACCCAGUGCAAUUCGUUGCACUAUCGUUAACUGAAUACAUAGGUUAACGAGGCGAACCGGGGGAACUGAAACAUCUAAGUACCCCGAGGAAAAGAAAUCAACCGAGAUUCCCCCAGUAGCGGCGAGCGAACGGGGAGCAGCCCAGAGUCUGAAUCAGCUUGUGUGUUAGUGGAACGGUCUGGAAAGUCCGACGGUACAGGGUGAUAGUCCCGUACACCAAAAUGCACAGGCUGUGAACUCGAAGAGUAGGGCGGGACACGUGGUAUCCUGUCUGAAUAUGGGGGGACCAUCCUCCAAGGCUAAAUACUCCUGACUGACCGAUAGUGAACCAGUACCGUGAGGGAAAGGCGAAAAGAACCCCGGCGAGGGGAGUGAAAAAGAACCUGAAACCGUGUACGUACAAGCAGUGGGAGCACCUUCGGGUGUGACUGCGUACCUUUUGUAUAAUGGGUCAGCGACUUAUAUUCUGUAGCAAGGUUAACCGUAUAGGGGAGCCGCAGGGAAACCGAGUCUUAACUGGGCGUUAAGUUGCAGGGUAUAGACCCGAAACCCGGUGAUCUAGCCAUGGGCAGGUUGAAGGUUGGGUAACACUAACUGGAGGACCGAACCGACUAAUGUUGAAAAAUUAGCGGAUGACUUGUGGCUGGGGGUGAAAGGCCAAUCAAACCGGGAGAUAGCUGGUUCUCCCCGAAAGCUAUUUAGGUAGCGCCUCGUGAACUCAUCUUCGGGGGUAGAGCACUGUUUCGGCUAGGGGGUCAUCCCGACUUACCAACCCGAUGCAAACUACGAAUACCGAAGAAUGUUAUCACGGGAGACACACGGCGGGUGCUAACGUCCGUCGUGAAGAGGGAAACAACCCAGACCGCCAGCUAAGGUCCCAAAGUCAUGGUUAAGUGGGAAACGAUGUGGGAAGGCACAGACAGCCAGGAUGUUGGCUUAGAAGCAGCCAUCAUUUAAAGAAAGCGUAAUAGCUCACUGGUCGAGUCGGCCUGCGCGGAAGAUGUAACGGGGCUAAACCAUGCACCGAAGCUGCGGCAGCGACACUAUGUGUUGUUGGGUAGGGGAGCGUUCUGUAAGCCUGCGAAGGUGUGCUGUGAGGCAUGCUGGAGGUAUCAGAAGUGCGAAUGCUGACAUAAGUAACGAUAAAGCGGGUGAAAAGCCCGCUCGCCGGAAGACCAAGGGUUCCUGUCCAACGUUAAUCGGGGCAGGGUGAGUCGACCCCUAAGGCGAGGCCGAAAGGCGUAGUCGAUGGGAAACAGGUUAAUAUUCCUGUACUUGGUGUUACUGCGAAGGGGGGACGGAGAAGGCUAUGUUAGCCGGGCGACGGUUGUCCCGGUUUAAGCAUGUAGGCUGAUUGUCCAGGCAAAUCCGGAUAAUCAAGGCUGAGGUGUGAUGACGAGGCACUACGGUGCUGAAGUAACAAAUGCCCUGCUUCCAGGAAAAGCCUCUAAGCAUCAGGUAACAUCAAAUCGUACCCCAAACCGACACAGGUGGUCAGGUAGAGAAUACCAAGGCGCUUGAGAGAACUCGGGUGAAGGAACUAGGCAAAAUGGUGCCGUAACUUCGGGAGAAGGCACGCUGGUGUGGUGAAGUCCCUGCGGAUGGAGCUGAGACCAGUCGAAGAUACCAGCUGGCUGCAACUGUUUAUUAAAAACACAGCACUGUGCAAACACGAAAGUGGACGUAUACGGUGUGACGCCUGCCCGGUGCCGGAAGGUUAAUUGAUGGGGUUAUCCGUAAGGAGAAGCUCUUGAUCGAAGCCCCGGUAAACGGCGGCCGUAACUAUAACGGUCCUAAGGUAGCGAAAUUCCUUGUCGGGUAAGUUCCGACCUGCACGAAUGGCGUAAUGAUGGCCAGGCUGUCUCCACCCGAGACUCAGUGAAAUUGAACUCGCUGUGAAGAUGCAGUGUACCCGCGGCAAGACGGAAAGACCCCGUGAACCUUUACUAUAGCUUGACACUGAACAUUGAGCCUUGAUGUGUAGGAUAGGUGGGAGGCUUUGAAGCGUGGACGCCAGUCUGCGUGGAGCCAACCUUGAAAUACCACCCUUUAAUGUUUGAUGUUCUAACGUUGGCCCCUGACCGGGGUUGCGGACAGUGUCUGGUGGGUAGUUUGACUGGGGCGGUCUCCUCCCAAAGCGUAACGGAGGAGCACGAAGGUUAGCUAAUCCUGGUCGGACAUCAGGAGGUUAGUGCAAUGGCAUAAGCUAGCUUGACUGCGAGCGUGACGGCGCGAGCAGGUGCGAAAGCAGGUCAUAGUGAUCCGGUGGUUCUGAAUGGAAGGGCCAUCGCUCAACGGAUAAAAGGUACUCCGGGGAUAACAGGCUGAUACCGCCCAAGAGUUCAUAUCGACGGCGGUGUUUGGCACCUCGAUGUCGGCUCAUCACAUCCUGGGGCUGAAGUAGGUCCCAAGGGUAUGGCUGUUCGCCAUUUAAAGUGGUACGCGAGCUGGGUUUAGAACGUCGUGAGACAGUUCGGUCCCUAUCUGCCGUGGGCGCUGGAGAAUUGAGGGGGGCUGCUCCUAGUACGAGAGGACCGGAGUGGACGCAUCACUGGUGUUCGGGUUGUCAUGCCAAUGGCACUGCCCGGUAGCUAAAUGCGGAAGAGAUAAGUGCUGAAAGCAUCUAAGCACGAAACUUGCCCCGAGAUGAGUUCUCCCUGAGACUUUAAGUCUCCUGAAGGAACGUUAAAGACGAUGACGUUGAUAGGCCGGGUGUGUAAGCGCAGCGAUGCGUUGAGCUAACCGGUACUAAUGAACCGUGAGGCUUAACCU
rnacentral:rRNA from 1 species